rnacentral:rRNA from 1 species
UACGUAGGGACCGAGCGUUGUCCGGAUUCAUUGGGCGUAAAGAGCUCGUAGGCGGUUUGUCGCGUCGAAUGUGAAAACCCGGGGCUCAACCCCGGGCCUGCAUUCGAUACGGGCAGACUGGAGGUAUGCAGGGGAGAACGGAAUUCCUGGUGUAGCGGUGAAAUGCGCAGAUAUCAGGAGGAACACCGGUGGCGAAGGCGGUUCUCUGGGCAUGUCCUGACGCUGAGGAGCGAAAGUGUGGGGAGCGAACAGG